UGAGGAAUAUUGGUCAAUGGGCGGGGAGCCUGAACCAGCCAAGCCGCGUGAAGGAAGAAGGCGCCAGGCGUCGUAAACUUCUUUUGUCGGGGAACAAAGGGCGCCACGCGUGGCGUUGUGAGUGUACCCGAAGAAAAGCAUCGGCUAACUCCGUGCC
rnacentral:rRNA from 1 species